UUCAAUGCAUUUUAAUCUUGCAACAGGAACGAAAUACAUACUAAUCACAACAAUAUACAGAAGAACCCGUUUUAUGGUCUAACACUAUGUGGAUAUGGCCUCUGUCUAUAUUUGUUACAUUUCUGGCACAUAUGUUAAAGACUUGGGGAUAUGCUUAUUUGAUAUGCAAUACACAAUGUAUUAUGUCAUUAAGAUCAGUGCACUAUUUGACCCCAAUAAUAAUUGUUGAUAAAUCAUACGCAGGUUAAGUGCUAUGGAAUUGCAAAUGUUGUAUGAAGGUCUACAUUUCUCACCACUUAAGUGUAGCAAGAACAUACAAGGCUCUCUGUAGACACCAAAAAGCUACUUCUUCCUCCAUAAGACAUAGGAUUUUUCAAACACAUUGUCGGCAUUACUUUCAUAAAUAUGCAAUAAGACUUUUCAUUUCACAAUAUCUUUGUACAUAACAUUUUCACACAGUUUCAGAACAACAAAAUUAUUUCAUAAAUGCUGCACAGCAGGAAAGAAGAUAUACACUUUUUGCUCUCAACAAAUACAUCUAAGAGUGAUACAGAACAUUUACAUUGUACAAUGCACACAUCGUUACAAUAUAGCUAUACAUGAAACUAUUUGUGAACCAUAAGUUUGAAGGUCAUUUGCCCAGAAGGGCAGCCAUCUUGAAUGUUGCCAAGCAAUGCAUUAUGGGUACAGGUUAAUUCCUCUUUAUCUUGAUAUUGACUGAAUGAAGAUUGUAUUGGUACGGUAUGCAUGGUUAUUGAAAUGCUCAUAUCAUCUCAAAUUAGCUCAGUUUUCUAUUGUUUAAUGCUGUAACAGUUUUAUUUUCUGUCAUGAUAUUUUCUAAUUGCACAAGCCUGCUCAAAUUACACAAAAUACAACAUCAACUGACAUAUCCUGCAUACUAAUUAGCAACCAGCAUUUUCUUCCAGCAUCACAGAUAAGAUGGUGGGUUCUACAAAUUAGUUGUUAUGUUCAGUCUUGCAUCACAGAUGGUGAGUUCUGUGAAUAAGCUGCUAAGUUCAGUCUGGCAUCACACCAAACACAUACAGUUCUACAUAGCAGGAAGCUUUUUAAGCACAAAUAGCAAACACAUCUGUGAUGUAAAACAAAUUCUGGUUACCAAUUUACUAGGAGAUCGUUUAAUGCCUUUAUGAAACAGUUUAUGCUACAGAAUAGAUCUUUAGACUCUUGAAAUGAGCACAGCUAGGGAAAAAUCAUUCAGAAUGGGUAUUACUAAGCAAAUAUAUACAGAUAGUGCCAGAUACGAGAAUGCCUCAGCUGCUACAAGUAUAAUGAUAAGCUGUUGUACAAUAUUUCAUACAGCUACAGCCAUGGCACUAAAGUGCUGCUUCGUUUGCGAAUCAUAAAUAAGUCCUUUCACAGAUCCAACUGCACACGUGAAGACCCCCUAGACAUAAACAAAACAAGUCUGGACAUCCAAACUGACAAAGGCCAUACAUAUCUGGACAUAUAUUGAGCAUGUCCUAGACAAGAACUGUUUUGGCCAUGCUUAGCACAGGCUAGGGGGAUUCACCUUUAACCUGUGCAUGUACAGCUGGACCUGUGAAAGGGCUUAUAGUGAACAACACACAAGGGCUGGUAUUCUCUACUCUAGGAUGAAAGGUCGUGAAAACCAUGAAAAAUAAUGGACCUGUUUUUACACAUCAUGUGUGACUAAACAAAAAAUCCCCACAUUAUAAACAUGUAGUGGAGACAUGUUGGUUACUAUGUAGAAGUGACCGCACAGUGUAAUAGUACUCUUACACCCAUCUCAUCUGUAACAGACCAUGGCACAUGUAUAAUUAUGUAAUAUUGUUGAUGAAGCAGUGCUAGACUGAUAACAGAAUGCAGAAUAGCAUGACAAUGCUUGAAUGAAAGAGAAAAUGGCACAUCAGGAAAUCGUGACU